rnacentral:rRNA from 1 species
CCCUUAGAUGUUCUGGGCCGCACGCGCGCUACAAUGAUGAAUUCAACGAGUUUAUAACCUUGGUUGAAAAGCCUGGGUAAUCUUUUGAACUUUCGUCGUGAUGGGGCUAGACCCUUACAAUUAUUGGUCUCCAACGAGGAAUUCCUAGUAAACGCGAGUCAUCACCUUGCAUUGAUUACGUCCCUGCCCUUUGUUCACACCGCCCGUCGCUCCUACCGAUUGAGUGCUCAGGUGAAUAAUUCGGACUGCAGCAAUGUUUGGAUCCCGAACGUUGCAGCGGAAAGUUUAGUGAACCUUAUCACUUAGAGGAAGGAGAAGUCGUAACA